rnacentral:rRNA from 1 species
GACGAACGCUGGCGGCGUGCUUAACACAUGCAAGUCGAACGCUGAAGCUUGGUGCUUGCACUGGGUGGAUGAGUGGCGAACGGGUGAGUAAUACGUGAGUAACCUGCCCUUGACUCUGGGAUAAGCCUGGGAAACUGGGUCUAAUACUGGAUACGACAUGCCACUGCAUGGUGGUGUGUGGAAAGGGUUUUACUGGUUUUGGAUGGGCUCACGGCCUAUCAGCUUGUUGGUGGGGUAAUGGCCUACCAAGGCGACGACGGGUAGCCGGCCUGGGAGGGUGACAGGCCAAGCUGCGACGGGGACAAGGCACAGCCUACUCCGGGACGCAGCGGUGCGGAAUGGUGCACAAUGGGCGGAAGGCUGAUGUAGCGAAGCCGCGUGAGGGAUGACGGCCUUCGGGUUGUAAUCCACUUUCAGCACGGAAGAAGCGAGAGUGACGGUACGUGCAGAAGAAGCGCCGGCUAACUACGUG